ACGUCUACAUUAGAUACCCGCGUAGUCCCAGCCGUAAACUAUGCGCGUUAGGUGUAUCGGUGACCACGAGUCACCGAGGUGCCGAAGGGAAACCGUGAAACGUGCCGCCUGGGAAGUACGGUCGCAAGGCUGAAACUUAAAGGAAUUGGCGGGGAGCACCACAACGGGUGGAGCCUGCGGUUUAAUUGGACUCAACGCCGGGAAGCUCACCGGAUAAGACAGCGGAAUGAUUGCCGGGCUGAAGACUCUGCAUGACUAGCUG
rnacentral:rRNA from 1 species